UUCGGGGGACAGGGUGACAGGUGGUGCAUGGUUGUCGUCAGCUCGUGUCGUGAGAUGUUGGGUUAAGUCCCGCAACGAGCGCAACCCUCGACCUUAGUUGCCAGCAUUCAGUUGGGCACUCUAAGGUGACUGCCGGCUAAAAGUCGGAGGAGGGUGGGGAUGACGUCAAGUCAUCAUGGCCCCUAUGUCCAGGGCUACACACGUGCUACAAUGGGCGAUACAGAGUGACGCGAAGCCGCGAGGUGGAGCAAAUCGCAGAAAAUCGCUCUCAGUUCGGAUUGGAGUCUGAAACCCGACUCCAUGAAGGUGGAAUCGCUAGUAAUCGCGCAUCAGCAUGGCGCGGUGAAUACGUUCCCGGGCCUU
rnacentral:rRNA from 1 species